rnacentral:tRNA from 1 species
UUAGGAUGUAAUCAUAAAGUGAUAUUUCUUUUACAAAGAAAAAGGGCGUUGUUGCCAUUCUUAU